rnacentral:misc_RNA from 1 species
GAUGAAGAACGUAGCGAAAUGCGAUAAGUAAUGUGAAUUGCAGAAUUCAGUGAAUCACCGAAUCUUUGAACGCACAUUGCGCCCGUCAGUAUUCUGGCGGGCAUGCCUGUUCGAGCGUCAUUACGCCCCUCAAGUCCCCUGUGGACUUGGUGUUGGGGAUCGGCGAGGCUGGUUUUCCAGCACAGCCGUCCCUUAAAUUAAUUGGCGGUCUCGCCGUGGCCCUCCUCUGCGCAGUAGUAAAACACUCGCAACAGGAGCCCGGCGCGGUCCACUGCCGUAAAACCCCCCAACUUUUUAUAGUUGACCUCGAAUCAGGUAGGACUACCCGCUGAACUUAAGCAUAUCAAUAAGCGGAGGA